rnacentral:rRNA from 1 species
CGAACGGGUGAGUAACACGUGAGUAACCUGCCCUUGACUCUGGGAUAAGCGUUGGAACGACGUCUAAUACCGGAUACGACCUUCGGAGGCAUCGUCCUGGGGGUGGAAAGAAUUUCGGUCAAGGAUGGACUCGCGGCCUAUCAGCUAGUUGGUGAGGUAAUGGGCUCACCAAGGCGACGACGGGUAGCCGGCCUGAGAGGGUGACCGGCCACACUGGGACUGAGACACGGCCCAGACUCCUACGGGAGGCAGCAGUGGGGAAUAUUGCACAAUGGGCGCAAGCCUGAUGCAGCAACGCCGCGUGAGGGACGACGGCCUUCGGGUUGUAAACCUCUUUUAGUAGGGAAGAAGCGAAAGUGACGGUACCUGCAGAAAAAGCACCGGCUAACUACGUG